UAUGUCUUGUAAUUGGAAUGAUGGGAAUUUAAACCUCUUCCAGAGUAUCAAUUGGAGGGCAAGUCUGGUGCCAGCAGCCGCGGUAAUUCCAGCUCCAAUAGCGUAUAUUAAAAUUGUUGCAGUUAAAAAGCUCGUAGUUGAAUUUCUGCUGCUUUGUUUUAGCUCUUUGAUGGGCUUUUGCACUGCGGCUUUUUUCGGUCUUCGCUUCUGCGUUGUCCGGAUGUUUACUUUGAGAAAAUUAGAGUGCUCAAAGCAGGCUUUUGCCUUGAAUAGUUUAGCAUGGAAUAAUAAAGUAGGACUUUGGUUCUAUUUUGUUGGUUUUAGGUACCAAAGUAAUGGUUAAUAGGAACAGUUGGGGGC
rnacentral:rRNA from 1 species